rnacentral:misc_RNA from 1 species
AAAACAAUUAAGUUUGUUGUACGAAAAGGUUUAGCUGUUCUACUUUCCAUAGGUAUAAUUUUAACACCAAGAGGGUACUCCUGACAUUUCAAGGUGGGAGGAAUUUUCCAUGUCCCAGAUUUUGUUGAAUCAUUCAAAAGACCAACAACCACCAUUGAUCCUACACGGUCAUUGCAAGGCUUCACUUCAGCAAGCAUACUAAUGCAUCCUUCAGUGGUCAUCCACUUGCAGAACUCAACAUCCUUUAAUUUUCCAUUUUUAGGACCCAAAGUUCCAAUGAUGUAGAUCGUCUUUACUGGCAAUCCUGGUCCAAAUUCAGGCUCCUGUACAUACUUCAUGAAUUUCCACUCAACUGGGGUAUCCUCUAAUUCCACUUGCUCUAGAACCUUAUGAAUAGCUGAAUUAAGAUCAAAUUUACUUAAAUCAACCUCAUCUGAGCAAGAUUCAGGGACUUGUAUAGAA